rnacentral:tRNA from 1 species
AUUUAAAUAGCUUAUAAAAGUAUAAUAUUGAAAAUAUUGAGAUGAUUAUUUUUAAUCUUUAAAUA